AAUAAGAUCAUUUUUUAGUUUUUUUAUACAAUGUUUUGACUCUUCGUCAUAUUUAAAAUUUUUUUGCGAUUAAUAUUUAAUUCUUACUAGAUGAUAGAACAUAAAUAGUACUUUAUGUGUAACUAACUUUUAUAUGUUUUUUUAUAAAUUUUUAAAUAAGACGAACGGUCAAAUGUUAACACGGAAAAACAAAAAUAAAGUUAUU
rnacentral:pre_miRNA from 1 species